AACGAACGCUGGCGGCAUGCCUAACACAUGCCAGUCGAACGAAACCUUCGGGUCUUGUUGCGCUCGGGUGCGUAACGCGUGGUAACCUGCCCUUAGGUUCGCAAUAACUCCCUGAAAGGGGUGCUCAUACCGGUUAAUGUCUUCGGACCUAAGAUCUCUCGCCUUUGGAUGGGCCCGCGUUGGAUUCGCUAGUUGGUAGUGUAAAAGCCUACCAAGGAGACGAUCCAUAGCUGGUCUGAGAGGAUGAUCAGCCACACUGGGACUGAGACACGGCCCAGACUGCGAGGGGAGGCAGGAGUGGGGAAUAUUGGACAAGGGGCGAAAGUCUGAUCCAGCAAUGCCGGGUGAGUGAGGAAGGGGUUAGGGUUGUAAAGCUGUUUGACCCGGGAUGAUAAUGACAGUACCGGGAGAAUAAGCUCCGGCUAACUCCGUG
rnacentral:rRNA from 1 species